AGGGCGCACGGUGGAUGCCUUGGCACUAGAAGCCGAUGAAGGACGUUACUAACGACGAUAUGCUUUGGGGAGCUGUAAGUAAGCUUUGAUCCAGAGAUUUCCGAAUGGGGAAACCCAGCAUGAGUUAUGUCAUGUUAUCGAUAUGUGAAUACAUAGCAUAUCAGAAGGCACACCCGGAGAACUGAAACAUCUUAGUACCCGGAGGAAGAGAAAGAAAAUUCGAUUCCCUUAGUAGCGGCGAGCGAAACGGGAAGAGCCCAAACCAACAAGCUUGCUUGUUGGGGUUGUAGGACACUCUAUACGGAGUUACAAAGGACGACAUUAGACGAAUCAUCUGGAAAGAUGAAUCAAAGAAGGUAAUAAUCCUGUAGUCGAAAAUGUUGUCUCUCUUGAGUGGAUCCUGAGUACGACGGAGCACGUGAAAUUCCGUUGGAAUCUGGGAGGACCAUCUCCUAAGGCUAAAUACUCUCUAGUGACCGAUAGUGAACCAGUACCGUGAGGGAAAGGUGAAAAGCACCCCGGAAGGGGAGUGAAAUAGAACCUGAAACCGUGUGCUUACAAGUAGUCAGAGCCCGUUAAUGGGUGAUGGCGUGCCUUUUGUAGAAUGAACCGGCGAGUUACGAUUUGAUGCAAGGUUAAGCAGUAAAUGUGGAGCCGUAGCGAAAGCGAGUCUGAAUAGGGCGUUUAGUAUUUGGUCGUAGACCCGAAACCAGGUGAUCUACCCUUGGUCAGGUUGAAGUUCAGGUAACACUGAAUGGAGGACCGAACCGACUUACGUUGAAAAGUGAGCGGAUGAACUGAGGGUAGCGGAGAAAUUCCAAUCGAACCUGGAGAUAGCUGGUUCUCUCCGAAAUAGCUUUAGGGCUAGCCUCAAGUGAUGAUUAUUGGAGGUAGAGCACUGUUUGGACGAGGGGCCCCUCUCGGGUUACCGAAUUCAGACAAACUCCGAAUGCCAAUUAAUUUAACUUGGGAGUCAGAACAUGGGUGAUAAGGUCCGUGUUCGAAAGGGAAACAGCCCAGACCACCAGCUAAGGUCCCAAAAUAUAUGUUAAGUGGAAAAGGAUGUGGCGUUGCCCAGACAACUAGGAUGUUGGCUUAGAAGCAGCCAUCAUUUAAAGAGUGCGUAAUAGCUCACUAGUCGAGUGACACUGCGCCGAAAAUGUACCGGGGCUAAACAUAUUACCGAAGCUGUGGAUUGUCCUUUGGACAAUGGUAGGAGAGCGUUCUAAGGGCGUUGAAGCAUGAUCGUAAGGACAUGUGGAGCGCUUAGAAGUGAGAAUGCCGGUGUGAGUAGCGAAAGACGGGUGAGAAUCCCGUCCACCGAUUGACUAAGGUUUCCAGAGGAAGGCUCGUCCGCUCUGGGUUAGUCGGGUCCUAAGCUGAGGCCGACAGGCGUAGGCGAUGGAUAACAGGUUGAUAUUCCUGUACCACCUAUAAUCGUUUUAAUCGAUGGGGGGACGCAGUAGGAUAGGCGAAGCGUGCGAUUGGAUUGCACGUCUAAGCAGUAAGGCUGAGUAUUAGGCAAAUCCGGUACUCAUUAAGGCUGAGCUGUGAUGGGGAGAAGACAUUGUGUCUUCGAGUCGUUGAUUUCACACUGCCGAGAAAAGCCUCUAGAUAGAAAAUAGGUGCCCGUACCGCAAACCGACACAGGUAGUCAAGAUGAGAAUUCUAAGGUGAGCGAGCGAACUCUCGUUAAGGAACUCGGCAAAAUGACCCCGUAACUUCGGGAGAAGGGGUGCUCUUUAGGGUUAACGCCCAGAAGAGCCGCAGUGAAUAGGCCCAAGCGACUGUUUAUCAAAAACACAGGUCUCUGCUAAACCGUAAGGUGAUGUAUAGGGGCUGACGCCUGCCCGGUGCUGGAAGGUUAAGAGGAGUGGUUAGCUUCUGCGAAGCUACGAAUCGAAGCCCCAGUAAACGGCGGCCGUAACUAUAACGGUCCUAAGGUAGCGAAAUUCCUUGUCGGGUAAGUUCCGACCCGCACGAAAGGCGUAACGAUUUGGGCACUGUCUCAACGAGAGACUCGGUGAAAUCAUAGUACCUGUGAAGAUGCAGGUUACCCGCGACAGGACGGAAAGACCCCGUGGAGCUUUACUGUAGCCUGAUAUUGAAAUUCGGCACAGCUUGUACAGGAUAGGUAGGAGCCUUUGAAACGUGAGCGCUAGCUUACGUGGAGGCGCUGGUGGGAUACUACCCUAGCUGUGUUGGCUUUCUAACCCGCACCACUUAUCGUGGUGGGAGACAGUGUCAGGCGGGCAGUUUGACUGGGGCGGUCGCCUCCUAAAAGGUAACGGAGGCGCUCAAAGGUUCCCUCAGAAUGGUUGGAAAUCAUUCAUAGAGUGUAAAGGCAUAAGGGAGCUUGACUGCGAGACCUACAAGUCGAGCAGGGUCGAAAGACGGACUUAGUGAUCCGGUGGUUCCGUAUGGAAGGGCCAUCGCUCAACGGAUAAAAGCUACCCCGGGGAUAACAGGCUUAUCUCCCCCAAGAGUUCACAUCGACGGGGAGGUUUGGCACCUCGAUGUCGGCUCAUCGCAUCCUGGGGCUGUAGUCGGUCCCAAGGGUUGGGCUGUUCGCCCAUUAAAGCGGUACGCGAGCUGGGUUCAGAACGUCGUGAGACAGUUCGGUCCCUAUCCGGCGUGGGCGUAGGAAAUUUGAGAGGAGCUGUCCUUAGUACGAGAGGACCGGGAUGGACAUACCUCUGGUGUACCAGUUGUCGUGCCAACGGCAUAGCUGGGUAGCUAUGUGUGGACGGGAUAAGUGCUGAAAGCAUCUAAGCAUGAAGCCCCCCUCAAGAUGAGAUUUCCCAACUUCGGUUAU
rnacentral:rRNA from 1 species